AUGAAGCCACUGAAAUUUCGGAAUGCCUGCCUGAUCCAUUGGAUGAACUAGACACGUUCAACUCCUUGCCACCUUCCCGUGACACGGACGAAGCAGACUUCCUUAAGGCACUCGGGGAUCUUUCAGGUCAUUUCCAUAGUGAAGAACAGAAAGGCGAGCCUCUCUCUGAGCGUUUGGCUUCCAUUCUCAACCCUAGUUUGAGGCGUCGGCCCUCGUCUGAAGGAAUAAAGUCUACUUGUAAUAAGAUCAAGGUUCCGAGCAAUGUACCGAACCUGAAAGUUCCUGUGACGAACACUGCCCUUUCCAAAGCCAUGAGUUUUGGAGGAAAGUUAAUUGAUGUCCGACUCUUUCAAACUAAUGGCCUGAUUACAAAAGCAAUAGUCCCCAUCGCUCGCUACAUUAGCGAUAUCGGGGACAAAAAAGGCAAGACCUUAAAUUCCUACCUAGAUGGACUAAAUAACAGCCUUAGGCUACUUUCGUCAGCUGUUAAUUAUAUAAAUCAGCUGAGAAAAGAAGUGGUAAGGAUCCACGUUCACGACUCGGCCUUGGUAGACCUUUGCAAAUGGGAGUGCGAGGUAGGAAAAGAUGACCUCUUUCCGUUUGAUGUGACGAAGAAAUGUGAGGAGAUACACAAGACAAGGAAAUUAGGAAGGCCCUCUUUCCAUCCUUACAAGUCCUCUGGAAGGAGGUUUGCUCCAAACAAGCAAACAACGAGACGGCACUAUCAAGUUCCCACUCAUUCUCGACCACGUUACCAGACGAGGCCUUUUUUAGGGCAGAGACAUCCCCAGGGGAAGGGGAUGCACUUACAAAAACCUCCCCAGUAAGCCUCUCCAGGUAUGAUCUCCAGAGCCCUAAAGAAAUUGCAAGAAGAGGAGGCAACAGUACUGAUGGUUUUACCACUGUGGCCAACCCAGUUUUGGUUCCCCAAAGCUCUUCAGUUAUUGGUGACCGAUCCCGUUCUCCUUCCUCGGAAUUCCCUAGUUCUACCACAAAAUCCAACUCUAACCCAUCCACAGGCACAAAGGUCAGCUUCGACCAGUAAAGCAGCACUAAAGCUACCUUUGUCAACAAUUCUAUCGACCAUUGGAUGGACCAAGGAAUCAACUUUUACCAAGUACUACAAGAAGCCAAUAAUUAAAGAUGGUCACUUUGCCAGGGCAAUCUUACCAUAAGUUGUGUAUAUGUCCUAACAAUAGGCAUAGGUUUCGUUUUCAUCUAUGUAUGUUUCUUUGGAUUUUGGUAUUAUAUACCUCUUUGUAUGUAUUACAUGCAAAAGUAUACCAUUGUUCUUGGAUUGGGUUACAUUAUAUGUUAACUAAAUACA